GAGGGUCGAAGCCGAAAGUCCGAGGUCGGAGGAAGCCGGGCCCCCUUAGGGCUCUUUUUGUCUUUCCGUCUUCCCAUGUAUAUAUUUUUUCUUCUAUUGUUUCAUCUUGUUCUUGUCGUUUUGCUUUUCUUUCUUUAGCCUGCUGGGCUUUGUAGUGUAUAUUUUGUGAAUGAAAUGAAAAGGGGAUUUUGUGUUACCUCGUCCACAUGUUGUAUUAAAUU
rnacentral:lncRNA from 1 species